UGACAGGGCGGAGGAAGAUGACAGGGCGGAGGAAGCUUUGCCACCCCCUCCAUGUGAUCCAGGGUCUGGAGCCACCACGCAGCUGAAGCCCAAAAGGAUCAUCAGUAGGUCAGUAAGCAUCGCACAACAGGAAGAGGAGCUCAGCCGGGCGUUGUUGAUCAAUGUCACGGCGCCGAGCCAAGAUGAUGUCGCAGCGGCCAUCCUAGAAAACUUCUCUCGAUGGCUGCGAGUUGAAGAAUUUCGACUAACUAUGCUUCGUUGUGGCCCUAGGAGUUCCAUCCUCCUCCUGCCCAGCUUGGAGGCAGCGGUCAUGGCCUACAAUGGCGGAUUGCCGGUUACAAUUUCUCCAUCUACAAGGCUCCAUAUCAUGAAAUGGUCAUGUUUUUUGAGCUCCAGUGCUUCUUCUUUGCCAAACCCAGUUGAGGUGGAAUUGAGAGGCAUCCUGGCACACGCUUGGGAUCUGGCAACGGUUGAAACUCUCCUGAAUGACUUCUGCUGGAUCACUGUCAUUCACCCAGAUUUCGAAAACCAACGUGAAGUGUUCAAGGUGGC
rnacentral:misc_RNA from 1 species